GGAAAGAGACUGAUAAGACAGGGAACAGGUAGAGCAUGGAUGGAGUUCCCAACAGAAAAAUAGAGCUGUUGUGGCUCUACUCAUGCACUGCCUCUUCCCUGGCUGCCGUCCUCAGUCUUCCU
rfam:Prunus persica cultivar Lovell chromosome G3, whole genome shotgun sequence.